CUGGGAGGACCAUCUCCUAAGGCUAAAUACUCUCUAGUGACCGAUAGUGAACCAGUACCGUGAGGGAAAGGUGAAAAGCACCCCGGAAGGGGAGUGAAAUAGAACCUGAAACCGUGUGCUUACAAGUAGUCAGAGCCCGUUAAUGGGUGAUGGCGUGCCUUUUGUAGAAUGAACCGGCGAGUUACGAUUUGAUGCAAGGUUAAGCAGUAAAUGUGGAGCCGUAGCGAAAGCGAGUCUGAAUAGGGCGUUUAGUAUUUGGUCGUAGACCCGAAACCAGGUGAUCUACCCUUGGUCAGGUUGAAGUUCAGGUAACACUGAAUGGAGGACCGAACCGACUUACGUUGAAAAGUGAGCGGAUGAACUGAGGGUAGCGGAGAAAUUCCAAUCGAACCUGGAGAUAGCUGGUUCUCUCCGAAAUAGCUUUAGGGCUAGCCUCAAGUGAUGAUUAUUGGAGGUAGAGCACUGUUUGGACGAGGGGCCCCUCUCGGGUUACCGAAUUCAGACAAACUCCGAAUGCCAAUUAAUUUAACUUGGGAGUCAGAACAUGGGUGAUAAGGUCCGUGUUCGAAAGGGAAACAGCCCAGACCACCAGCUAAGGUCCCAAAAUAUAUGUUAAGUGGAAAAGGAUGUGGCGUUGCCCAGACAACUAGGAUGUUGGCUUAGAAGCAGCCAUCAUUUAAAGAGUGCGUAAUAGCUCACUAGUCGAGUGACACUGCGCCGAAAAUGUACCGGGGCUAAACAUAUUACCGAAGCUGUGGAUUGUCCUUUGGACAAUGGUAGGAGAGCGUUCUAAGGGCGUUGAAGCAUGAUCGUAAGGACAUGUGGAGCGCUUAGA
rnacentral:rRNA from 1 species